rnacentral:misc_RNA from 1 species
GAUGAAGAACGCAGCGAAAUGCGAUAAGUAAUGUGAAUUGCAGAAUUCAGUGAAUCAUCGAAUCUUUGAACGCACAUUGCGCCCGCCAGUAUUCUGGCGGGCAUGCCUGUUCGAGCGUCAUUACAACCCUCAGGCCCCCGGGCCUGGCGUUGGGGAUCGGCGGAAGCCCCCUGCGGGCACAACGCCGUCCCCCAAAUACAGUGGCGGUCCCGCCGCAGCUUCCAUUGCGUAGUAGCUAACACCUCGCAACUGGAGAGCGGCGCGGCCACGCCGUAAAACACCCAACUCUUCUGAAGUUGACCUCGAAUCAGGUAGGAAUACCCGCUGAACUUAAGCAUAUCAAUAAGCGGAGGA